rnacentral:rRNA from 1 species
CCUACGGGUGGCUGCAGUCGAGAAUCAUUCGCAAUGGGCGCAAGCCUGACGAUGCGACGCCGCGUGCAGGAUGAAGGUCUUCGGAUUGUAAACUGCUGUGAUGGGGGAGCAAUGCGUCUUGUGUUAACACCACUUGACGUUGAUAGUACCCCAAGAGGAAGCCACGGCUAACUCUGUGCCAGCAGCCGCGGUAAUACAGAGGUGGCAAGCGUUGUUCGGAUUUACUGGGCGUAAAGGGUGCGUAGGCGGUCUUGUGUGUCGGGUGUGAAAUCCCACGGAUCAUCCGUGGAACUGCACUCGAAACUGCAGGGCUUGAGUACAGGAGAGGAAGGUGGAAUUCUCGGUGUAGCGGUGAAAUGCGUUGAUAUCGAGAGGAACGCCGGAGGCGAAGGCGACCUUCUGGACUGUAACUGACGCUGAGGCACGAAAGCUAGGGGAGCAAACAGGAUUAGAUACCCUUGUAGUC